rnacentral:rRNA from 1 species
GACGAACGCUGGCGGCGUGCUUAACACAUGCGAGUCGAACGGAAAGGCCCUGCUUUUGUGGGGUGCUCGAGUGGCGAACGGGUGAGUAACACGUGAGUAACCUGCCCUUGACUUUGGGAUAACUUCAGGAAACUGGGGCUAAUACCGGAUAGGAGCUCCUGCUGCAUGGUGGGGGUUGGAAAGUUUCGGCGGUUGGGGAUGGACUCGCGGCUUAUCAGCUUGUUGGUGGGGUAGUGGCUUACCAAGGCUUUGACGGGUAGCCGGCAUGAGAGGGUGACCGGCCACAUUGGGACUGAGAUACGGCCCAGACUCCUACGGGAGGCAGCAGUGGGGAAUAUGGCACAAUGGGCGGAAGCCUGAUGCAGCAACGCCGCGUGCGGGAUGACGGCCUUCGGGUUGUAAACCGCUUUCGCCUGUGACGAAGCGUGAGUGACGGUAAUGGGUAAAGAAGCACCGGCUAACUACGU